rnacentral:sRNA from 1 species
GCAGCAACAACAGCAACACCAACGUCAGCAAUUGCAGCUGCAACAAACUGUUGCAACACAAGCGAACGCUGGUGGACGGGUUCAUACACCGGAGACGCCCAAGCUGCAAACACCACCAGAUCGCUCACUGCCGCCAGCCUUCCGCAGCCGUUCCAUCGAGCGUGAAGCUCUUUACGAACGCAAGCGCUUCUCGGUGCCGAGCGUAGCUGAAUUCAAGGAGGCCGUAAGUACGACACCAUCUCCGCAAACGCAAAACUUUACGGAAACGCCGCCGACAGUAUACACGGCGGCAUUGGCGGGACCGCCAGCAACAGCUGCAGCUGCCACAGCUGCUAUAAUACCCAUACUACCGCUCGGCGUUGCGACGCUGCGCGAUGAUUCUACGGAGUCCGAGCAGUCCGUGACAUGUGCCCAGAACCAGCCGGAUGCCUACCAUCGCAUAAUCCAAAGCAACAAAUUAUUGACUGGACUUGCCUUAAAGUAGCAGCUAUAGCUAAAAGCUGCUGUGAAACAUUCAAAUUGUGAUUAUUAGUCAAAUUUAAGUAAAGUAGUGUUCAAAUCGGAUAAUCAACAAAUGAAAAUAAAACAUAAAACAUAAAGCUAACUAAAAUUAAGUCGAACGACACAACGCAUGCAACGGCCAAGUUAAAACAAAAGCGUUACAAUCAUGGCAUCGGACUCCAGUCGAUGGACUAGCAGCAAGUAGCAAACAAGUCGAGCAGCUGGCAACCAAAAACCCCGCUCAAGAUGUCCAUGGUAUGCAGUCUGAAUAGUGAUGGCAGCCCGGCCAACAUCAACACCAAUACAAAUACAAAUACAAAUACAAAUACAACUGCAAA